GACAGAGGUGCCAAGCGUUAGGCGGAAUCACUGGGUUUAAAGGGUGCGUAGGUGGGCAAGUAAGUCAGUGGUGAAAUCUCCGGGCUUAACCCGGAACUGCCAUUGAUACUAUUUGUCUUGAAUACUGUGGAGGUCAGCGGAAUAUGUCAUGUAGCGGUGAAAUGCUUAGAUAUGACAUAGAACACCAAUUGCGAAGGCAGCUGGCUAACACAAAUAUUGACACUGAGGCACGAAAGCGUGGGGAUCAAACCAGGAAUUAGAGUACCCCGAGUAAGUCCGAGAAGCCCAAUACCUCUGCUCACCGUA
rnacentral:rRNA from 1 species